rnacentral:miRNA from 1 species
GGGACAGUUCUGGUUUUGUCA